GCGGCCGACCCUCGCAGAACUUCCACUCCCCUCCGUCCAAGUCAUCUCGCUCUGUCAGGUCCUCGCUCAGGACGUAGCAGCGUCCGAUGGGGUCGCGAGUCUCUGAAGGUUUACCGACACGCUGCCUGAGCUCGUACAGACUCACUGAGGGGAAACACAGAAGGAAAUGGCAAUCAUAACAGUUUCCAUGUUGUAAACCAAUUAGGAUAUGAGCCACAGAGAGCACACAGCACUUGGUGAUUCAAGCUCAAAUUCAAGUUUUCCUCUCAUGCGAUGCAGUCGUACUCCUCCGGGGUGAUCGGACACCUGAACAAGGCUCCUGGCCGAGUGCCCCGCAAAUGGCCCUGCCCCGCUGCCUGUGGCGCCCCCACGAGGAUCCUGGAGGAACAUCAAUCAUAUUUCAUUGUAUUGCCCUGUACCAAAGAUUGUGGAUUCACAGGAUGUGUGUCAUAGGACAGAAACUAAGAUGUUUUGUUUCUGGUGGCAGGGUCAUCACCUCUUUGGACAUCAUCUAACACGUGACCGGUGAGAAAUUUCACACAAUAGCCUCAGCCGACCUCAGCCACCAUUACUGUUGAGCGCUGACACCUGCAGCUCAAGCAAAACUAUUCAACUCCUGCUGAGACCACCGACAGUUAAACAUGCUGUCACGUUAUCUUAACUUCAAGCUGAAU